CCUACGGGGUGCAGCAGUAGGGAAUAUUGCUCAAUGGGGGAAACCCUGAAGCAGCAACGCCGCGUGGAGGAUGAAGGUUUUCGGAUUGUACACUCCUUUUGUUAGAGAAGAUAAUGACGGUAUCUAACGAAUAAGCAUCGGAUAACUCCGUGCCAGCAGCCGCGGUAUUACGGAGGGGGCAAGCGUUACUCGGAAUCACUGGGCGUAAAGGGAGCGUAGGCGGGAUAGCAAGGCAGAUGUGAAAUCCUAGGGCUUAACCAUAGAACUGCAUUUGAAACUGUUAUUCUAGAGUAUGGAAGAGGUAGGUGGAAUUCUUGGUGUAGGGGUAAAAUCCGUAGAGAUCAAGAAGAAUACUCAUUGCGAAGGCGACCUGCUAGAACAUAACUGACGCUGAUGCGCGAAAGCGUGGGGAGCAAACAGGAUUAGAUACCCCAGUAGUC
rnacentral:rRNA from 1 species